UAAACUAGGAUUAGAUACCCCUAUUAUACCAAUAAGUAAUUAUUAUAAGCCUAAGUAUUAAUAGUUAUUUUCUAAAAAUUUGAAAAAUUUGGCGGUGGUUCAGUCCUGUCAGAGGAACCUGUCUUUUAAACGAUACACCACGAAAUAUUUUACUUAAACUGAUAAAGUAUGUAUACCAUCAUUAUUAGGUAAUUUUUAUAGAAUAAAUUACUAAAAGACUAGCAGGUAAAGCUAAAUAUAUUAGAUCAAGGUGCAGCUUAUGUUUAAGUUAAGAUGGGUUACAAUAAUAUUUAUUUAUUACGGAUAGGUGAUUUAAAUAUUGCCUGGAAGGAGGAUUUGAUUGUAAAAAUAGUUUAGUAUGGUAUUUAGAUAUAGGCUCUGAAGCAUGUACAUAUCGCCCGUCGCUUUCUUUCAUAAAAUGAGAUAAGUCGUAACAUAGUAGAUGUACUGG
rnacentral:rRNA from 1 species